rnacentral:rRNA from 1 species
GACGAACCGUGCGAACGUUGUUCGGAAUCACUGGGCUUAAAGGGCGCGUAGGCGGGCGGUCAAGUCAGGGGUGAAAUCUUUCAGCUCAACUGGAAAAUGGCCUUUGAUACUGGCCGCCUGGAGGGGGGUAGGGGCAUGUGGAACUUCCGGUGGAGCGGUGAAAUGCGUAGAUAUCGGAAGGAACAUCAGUGGCGAAAGCGGCUUCCUGGACCAGUACCGACGUUCAGGCACGAAAGCGUGGGGAGCAAACAGG